rnacentral:rRNA from 1 species
AUUGAACGCUGGCGGCAGGCCUAACACAUGCAAGUCGAGCGGCAGCGGGAAAGUAGCUUGCUACUUUUGCCGGCGAGCGGCGGACGGGUGAGUAAUGCCUGGGAAAUUGCCCAGUCGAGGGGGAUAACAGUUGGAAACGACUGCUAAUACCGCAUACGCCCUACGGGGGAAAGCAGGGGACCUUCGGGCCUCGCGCGGUUGGAUAUGCCCAGGUGGGAUUAGCUAGUUGGUGAGGUAAUGGCUCACCAAGGCGACGAUCCCUAGCUGGUCUGAGAGGAUGAUCAGCCAAACUGGAAAUGAGACACGGUCCAGACUCCUACGGGAGGCAGCAGUGGGGAAUAUUGCACAAUGGGGGAAACCCUGAUGCAGCCAUGCCGCGUGUGUGAAGAAGGCCUUCGGGUUGUAAAGCACUUUCAGCGAGGAGGAAAGGUUGAUGCCUAAUACGUAUCAACUGUGACGUUACUCGCAGAAGAAGCACCGGCUAACUCCGUGCCAGCCGCCGCGGUAACAC